rnacentral:rRNA from 1 species
GAUGAACGCUGGCGGCGUGCCUAAUACAUGCAAGUCGAGCGAACAGACGAGGAGCUUGCUCCUCUGACGUUAGCGGCGGACGGGUGAGUAACACGUGGAUAACCUACCUAUAAGACUGGGAUAACUUCGGGAAACCGGAGCUAAUACCGGAUAAUAUAUUGAACCGCAUGGUUCAAUAGUGAAAGACGGUUUUGCUGUCACUUAUAGCUGGAUCCGCGCCGCAUUAGCUAGUUGGUAAGGUAACGGCUUACCAAGGCAACGAUGCGUAGCCGACCUGAGAGGGUGAUCGCCCACACUGGAACUGAGACACGGUCCAGACUCCUACGGGAGGCAGCAGUAGGGAAUCUUCCGCAAUGGGCGAAAGCCUGACGGAGCAACGCCGCGUGAGUGAUGAAGGUCUUCGGAUCGUAAAACUCUGUUAUUAGGGAAGAACAAAUGUGUAAGUAACUAUGCACGUCUUGACGGUACCUAAUCAGAAAGCCACGGCUAACUACGUG